AAUGAACGCUGGCGGCAUGCCUAACACAUGCAAGUCGAACGAAACCUUCGGGACUUUUCGCGCAUGGGUUCGUCACGCGUGGGAACCUGCCCUCAGGGUCGGCAUACCUCUCCGACUGGGGUGCCAAUACCGGACAAUGUCUUCGGCCCAAUGAUUUAUAGCCUUUGGUUGGGCCCGCGUUGGAUUAGCUAGUUGGUAGGGUAAUAGCCUACCAAGGCGACGAUCCAUAGCUGGUCUGAGGAUGAUCAGCCACACUGGGACUGAGACACGGCCCAGACUCCUACGGGAGGCAGCAGUGGGGAAUAUUGGACAAUGGGCGAAAGCCUGAUCCAGCAAUGCCGCGUGAGUGAUGAAGGCCUUAGGGUUGUAAAGCUCUUUUACCCGGGAUGAUAAUGACAGUACCGGGAGAAUAAGCUCCGGCUAACUCCGUG
rnacentral:rRNA from 1 species